GACUGCUGCUGGCAAUCGGAUCCUGUGUGGUACUUUCUGAAGAUUGUCAUUGUACAAUAAGGAAGUUUUGUUCCCUGCAGUUAGACAAGAAAUGAAUUGUCAGGAAUUUGAUAGUUUCCUCUGCUGCUUUAGACAUUCUGUACUUAUGGAAAUGUUUCUGUGUCACAUGUUCCCUUUUAAGCCUGUAGAGGGAGGUCUAUGCAAACUCUUCCUCUCUUAUAAACACACCAUCAGCAACUUGUGGCAGAACACUGGGACAGUUUUAUAUAUUUCUGAAACACUCAGAUCAGAGAGCAGAACUACAGUGUUUAUCACAGAAUGGACAAUACAAUUAUCUGGAGUUUAUUAUUUGUAGUUACUAUUCAUGGAGUUUGGAGUGAGAUCAAACUGGACCAGUCUCCCUCUGAGGUGAAAAGACCUGGAGAGACAGUGAAGAUGUCAUGUGUCAUAUCUGGUUAUAGCAUGACAAGCUACAAUAUUAACUGGGUACGACAGAGGUCAGGGAAAGCUCUGGAGUGGAUUGGGAGGAUGGAUACAGGUUCAGACUCUGCUAGCUAUGCCAGCUCCUUUCAAAGCCGUUUCAUCAUGACUGAAAAUGUGCCCAGCAGCACUCAGUACCUCGAGGUCAAGAGCCUGACAGCAGAAGAUUCUGCUGUUUACUUCUAUGCUCGACAAAGCACAGUGAAGACAGUGGAGCAGCUGCACAAAAACCUCCACAGACAACAAACAGCAAUGUGAUAGUAAUGAAGUCUCGGUUUACUCAACAUAAUCUUGUUUACAAGGUUCUUUGAUUUUGUAUAACUUACAGAUAUAUAUUUAAUCAGCCAUGUUAAUGUCUUUUUCAUUGUCUUCAUGUUGUUAGUCAAUUCAAUUCAAAAGUCAUCUGUGACG